CGAUAACGAACGAGACCUUAACCUGCUAAAUAGCCCGGCCCGCCUUGGCGGGUCGCUGGCUUCUUAGAGGGACUUUCGGCUCAAGCCGAAGGAAGUUUGAGGCAAUAACAGGUCUGUAAUGCCCUUAGAUGUCCUGGGCCACACGCGCGUUACACUGACGGAGCCAACGAGUUUCUUUCCUUGCCCGAAAGGGUUGGGUAAUCUUGUUAAACUCCGUCGUGCUGGGGAUCGAGCCUUGCAAUUAUGGCUCGUCAACGAGGAAUGCCUAGUAAGCGCGUGUCAUCAGCACGCGUUGAUUACGUCCCUGCCCUUUGUACACACCGCCCGUCGCUACUACCGAUUGAAUGGCU
rnacentral:rRNA from 1 species